ACGUAGGGGGCAAGCGUUGUUCGGAAUUACUGGGCGUAAAGGGCAUGUAGGCGGCCCUGUAAGCUUGGCGUGAAAGUCAACGGCUUAACCGUGGGAUUGCGUUGGGAACUGCGAGGCUUGAGUGAUGGAGAGGGAGCUAGAAUUCCAGGUGUAGGGGUGAAAUCUGUAGAGAUCUGGAAGAAUACCAAUGGCGAAGGCAAGCUCCUGGCCAAUGACUGACGCUGAGGUGCGAAAGUGUGGGGAUCAAACAG
rnacentral:rRNA from 1 species